AGGAGGGACCACCGGUGCGGUGCAGCAGUAGCAACAGGGGAGCAUGAGUAGAGCUUCUAUUGCAGUAGGGACGUUAUACCAACAAGGUGCCUAGGAAACCCCAUACUCGAGAACCUACUUUUACAAGGAAUCAUGUAGUUGCAUUCUAAAUCAUGAUGUAUUUUAUAUGAAUCAAUGUACUGAAUGUAUAUCUAUUAUUAGAUCCUUUUAGAUUAAAUUUGUGAUGACUAUUUGUCGGAUAGAAUACAAACUCAUGACUAUGCAUGUAUAUUUUAAAUGCAAACUUCUAAUCAUGCAAACAUAAUAUUAUGAGUUUAUGUAA